rnacentral:tRNA from 1 species
CGAUCAGUAGCACAAUGGUAGUGCAACAGAUUUUGAUUCCGCGGGCUGUUGGUUCAAGUCCAAUCUGCUCUG